UCGUACCCACGCUGGUGCCCAUACUG
rnacentral:misc_RNA from 1 species